GAUUAUAGUUAUAUAAGUUUCCCUCCCACUCCCGCCGUCGUCAUGGCAACCCCCACCCCUCCUUUUUGAACGUCAGAGCCGGGAGCUGGAGGAUGAAGCCGCAUCCAGCUUCAGCAUCUCGUGCCUCUCAGAGAGCACCUGUGAUUAUUUUGCAGAGGAGGAGCAGCUGCUGCAGCGACGGCGAUCAUCUAAUGAGAGGUUCGGACUCUGGGCUGCUCUUCGUCGCUUAAAAAAAUCGCCACCGAUCGAGCAGCGUCUGCAGCCGGUAUGUCGUGGUUGUUCUUGGACUGGUUCGUCCCACUCUACUUGCUGGUGUCGGUGUUGGUGCUGGCAGGCUUCGGAGCGUGCCUGUACUUCCUAGAGCCCGGGUUGCAGGAUGCCCACAAGUGGAGCAACAAAACAGUCCGGCAUCACCCGCUGGUGGCCAGUGUGAACUGCAGAGAUGACGAUAGCAAUGCCCUGAUAUGAUCAAGAGGGCGAGGCGAAGCGGGAGGGCGGCUGACCAUCUGGACAGGGGUGCUGCCGCCGGGACACCCGUGGGAUGGGAGCCAACACCCAAACGACCGUGGAAGAAAAAUGGGAGAGAAGGACGAGAAAGGAGGGGAACAUUAUCUGUUGUCUGAUAAUGCAAACCCUGUUCUAUAUCAUUCCAACUUUUCUCUGAUCUCUGCUGAUUUUCGUUGUAGAGGUGAGAGAAAAGUAAAGCAGAGGUGUUUUUAACGUUCUUAAAAAUAAAAAUAAAAAAAGAAGAAGAAAAAUAAAAAUAAAAAAGCCAGAUGCACAAUGCGAAGAAGACUGCAUCCAGAAAGAGAUCGUGAGGUGAUUGGAGGAAGUGUUGCCCUUUAGAAAUGUGUUUGUAAAUUUCACGCCAUCCUAUACUUGUGCCAAGUUUUACAUGCAUUUUGUAAUUUUGACAAUCACUUUGCAUAUCUCAUAAAGUUUACUUACAUUGUGCAUUUAAUUAGCUGAAGUGAGCGACAUAAGUGCAAUGACUUUGCUGCCACCGGGGAGGGUUUUUAAUCCUCUCUCUGAAGUCGGCGUGGCAGCUGCUCAGACGCAUGUGGAUUGUUUAGUGCCGCUGUGCCAAAACGGUGUGUUAUUCGUGACUUACUUUAAACUGUUAUGUACCCAAUAAAUGCAACUGAUUCAUUUAAGGUGCCAAGAUUAUCAUAGAUGGACCAAGACGACUGACAAAUAGCCUAGUAUUUGGUAAAGGGUUUUUUUUUUCUUUGCUUUGUUUGUUUUCAUUGUUUUUACUUGACAGCAUGGUGAGAAACUGUGGGUGUGUAACGACCCUCUUUUAAGAAUCAUAUGCUUCCUUUGUUCAUACAAAAAUAAAACUGCUCAGUCCCCA